CCCAAAAUUCAAUAUUUAAUAUAGGAAAUAAUUUUAACUAUUUACUAGAUUAAAUUUUAAAUCUAAACAAAAUGUAGCAUUAUCUCUUCUUCUUCCUAACUGACUGAUUUUUUUCACAAGGUAAACUGUGAAUGGUAUAUUCUAGAAGGCUGAGCUUUUCAUCCAUUCACUCAAUUAUCAAAACACAGGCGAAAUAGUAAUAGCUGGUAGCUCGAAAUUUGCUAUCACUGUAUAAACUGUUAAAGCUCAGACCAAUUGGUAAGAGCUUGGAGGCUGAAAAUUUGUAUCACUGUCUCUGCUAUCAAAGUACAGAACAAAGGGUAACUUCUAGGAGGCUGAAAAUUUUAAUUAUUGUAUAAGCUAUUAAUGCAUAGAACAAAUGCGGUAAGAGCUAGGAGGCUGACAACUUCCAUGACUGACUCAAGUAUCAAAGCACAGGUCAAAUGGUAUGAGCUUUGAGGCCGAAAGUUGUUAUCAUUGAAUAAGUUAUUAAUGUGCAAAGAAAAUGGUAAGAGCUAAAAGGCUAAACGCUGUAUUUGACUGACAACAACGCACACGCUAAAUGAAUGUUGAAAUUUUUAACUUUUAACGCACGGUCCAAAGGUGGUCGCGUGGUAUAAUAAAAAAAAGCAGAGAAACAGCAGCGGCAACUAAAACUAACUAUAGCCUCAGUCUUGGCAUGGGGAUAAAAGUUAAAGUAGUAAAAUUAAAUAAUUUAUUUUUUUAAUUUGUUAAAUACUCCAAGUUAGCAACGAAAAAUU